rnacentral:rRNA from 1 species
AGCGAACGCUGGCGGCAUGCCUUACACAUGCAAGUCGAACGGCAGCGGGGGAGAAGCUUGCUUUUCCUGCCGGCGAGUGGCGAACGGGUGAGUAAUACAUCGGAACGUGCCCUGUAGUGGGGGAUAACUAGUCGAAAGAUUAGCUAAUACCGCAUACGACCUGAGGGUGAAAGUGGGGGACCGCAAGGCCUCAUGCUAUAGGAGCGGCCGAUGUCUGAUUAGCGAGUUGGUGGGGUAAAGGCCUACCAAGGCGACGAUCAGUAGCUGGUCUGAGAGGACGAUCAGCCACACUGGGACUGAGACACGGCCCAGACUCCUACGGGAGGCAGCAGUGGGGAAUUUUGGACAAUGGGCGAAAGCCUGAUCCAGCAAUGCCGCGUGUGUGAAGAAGGCCUUCGGGUUGUAAAGCACUUUUGUCCGGAAAGAAAUGGCUCUGGUUAAUACCUGGGGUCGAUGACGGUACCGGAAGAAUAAGGACCGGCUAACUACGUGCCAGCAGCCGCCGCGG